rnacentral:rRNA from 1 species
AGAGUUUGAUCAUGGCUCAGGAUGAACGCUAGCGGCAGGCCUAUACAUGCAAGCCGAACGGCAAGUCGAGUAGCAAUACUUGACCUAGAGUGGGUAAGGGUGCGUAACACGUAUGCAAUCUGCCCGCAACAGGAGGAUAGCUCCCCGAAAGGGGAAUUAACCCUCCAUAGAACCACACGAGGGCAUCCGAGAGUGGUUAAACCAAAAGGGGUUGCGGAUGAGCAUGCGGUUGAUUAGCUAGUUGGCGGGGUAACGGCCCACCAAGGCGAUGAUCAAUAGGGGAACUGAGAGGUUUAUCCCCCACACUGGCACUGAGAUACGGGCCAGACUCCUACGGGAGGCAGCAGUAGGGAAUAUUGGACAAUGGGCGAGAGCCUGAUCCAGCCAUGCCGCGUGCAGGAAGAAGGCCUUCUGGGUUGUAAACUGCUUUUGCCAGGGGAUAAAAGACCCGUGCGCGGGGAAUUGAAGGUACCUGGUGAAUAAGCCACGGCUAACUACGUGCCAGCAGCCGCGGUAAUACGUAGGUGGCAAGCGUUGUCCGGAUUUAUUGGGUUUAAAGGGUGCGUAGGCGGUUCCAUAAGUCAGUGGUGAAAUACGGCAGCUCAACUGUCGAGGUGCCAUUGAUACUGUGGAACUUGAGUACAGACGAGGUAGGCGGAAUUGACGGUAGCGGUGAAAUGCUUAGAUAUCGUCAAGAACACCGAUAGCGAAGGCAGCUUACUAGACUGUAACUGACGCUGAGGCACGAAAGUGUGGGGAUCAAACAGGAUUAGAUACCCUAGUAGUCC